rnacentral:antisense_RNA from 1 species
UGCUUAGCCGAAUCUUUAUAUUCGGCUAAAAGUGAAGAUGAUAGCAGGGCAACUUCUCUCUUAAAAUUAUAUUA